UACGUAGGGGGCAAGCGUUGUCCGGAUUUAUUGGGCGUUAAAGAGCGUGUAGGCGGUUAGGUAGGUCCGUUGUGAAAACUCGAGGCUCAACCUCGAGACGCCGAUGGAAACCAUCUAACUAGAGUCCGGAAGAGGAGAAUGGAAUUCCUGGUGGUAGCGGUGAAAUGCGCAGAUAUCAGGAAGAACACCCGUGGCUAAGGCGGUUCUCCUAGUACGGUACUGACGCUGAGACGCGAAAGCGUGGGGAGCGAACAGG
rnacentral:rRNA from 1 species